UUUGUACCAGGCUGAGACACGAAUGGAGGCGGGCUCAAAAGCUUGCGAUUGUGAUGUGAUUCCGGCUUUCUCCCGUAAGCUAGCAGACCCAUACAGUUGUCAUCGUUGGGAGCCGAUGGUAUAGAAAGAGGAGUUGGUAUAUUCUACUGUCGGGUGAGGUUGGGGGCAGCUCUCUAACGAGUGAAGUUUGAACUCUGUAACGUCCCUACUUAGCUGGUAGUCUGCUGUCUGGCUUGGGCAUCUGGGAGGUUUUACCGACUACGGAUACGUUGAAACUGCAAAACUGGUGCCGGCAGGUGGAGACUCGCCCUUAAUAGAGAACGGCAAACAGAGAGGCAUUAUUUUCCCUCCUAGGAAAUGAGAGGACUGGAGGGUAUUAAACGGAGAUGCAUUAAGCAAAGAGGCUGAGUAUUUGGAGCCAUUAUGCUGAAAAACAAGCAAAUUGGGAUACUUCAUCUGGAAUUUUAUGUUCUUUGGAAUCAGGCUGUUCGUGUCAGCAGUUCUUUUUGGAUAUCUAUUUCAUUCCCUUUCAUCAUCUGCUUAGAAAACUUUCAUCGCAUUGAUUAUAGUUGUUUCUGGGAUAACCUCUCCAAUACUUAAUGUGACACAUUCUUCAGCAGUCAGUACGUAUUACAGUUGAAGUACUUGAAGCAAAUAUCAGAAGGUAGACUAUUUCUCAGGCCUCGUCUCUUUUAUAAUUAUAACCAUCUCCUGAGGCCUAGCCCUGGUAAUGCAAAAAGAGAGUUAAAGUACCACACCAUCUCUAAACUACUGGAUUUACACCUUCAGUUGAAACUGUUAUUUUCCUGCCUUCCUCAAUACCUUUAGAAGCAGUGGUAAUGACCAGACUUUGAGUAAUACACAAUUGUUUGAAGAUCAUCAUUGCGAGCAUUCCAAAUCUGGUUAUUAAAAUUCUGAAUAGCUAGACAGGAGGAGACAGAUGGAUGACGGGCUUCUCUUUUGAUGUGAUAGUCUUGCUGUGGAGUGGAAAAGGGGUAGGAGACGAGGCUUAAAUACAGGAAGGUCAAAAGGCACCAGCUUGGCUGCAGCCAUUCAUUGUACUCAUGGCAAUUUGAAAGGAAUGCUAGUUCAGCUAGUGAUAUCUUUGGGAUGUGGGAGGAAUCUCGAUAACUUGGCAACAAUCUAUUCAGACACAGGGAGGAUGUACCGACUCAACACAAAAGGCACUCCAGAUGAAAAGAAACUGAAGAGCCAUAACAGUAUAAGGAGGCAGGAUUGCACUCUACCACUGUGC